UGGAAUUCUCCAGCAUCUGCAGUUCCCAUUAUCACUGAUACUUAAAAUGUGUUGCUUACAAAUAACCAAAGAAGUGCAACAUUUUUUAACAGACAUAAGCAGAGAAACAAGCUUGAAAAACACGAGGAGGCUUUUGACCAGACUUGAAGAAGUGCAGAAUUUACAUUUACAAUAGGACCCCAGAAAAAAUAAACAGAAAUAGUAGUUCAGAGAACAAAUAUGAGGAUGACUCUUGCAGCAUGCACAAACAAGAGAAAGUGAGCUGGAUCAUAUAAACCAUAACAACAUGAUCUGCGGCGUAUACUGGUGAAGUUCUAUUCAUUGCUUAGAAAAGAAUCCAUGAUUUGAUGACAAAACCCCUCAAAAUAUCAAACAGGACAGCACACAUAUUUCCACAUUUUGUACAGAAUUUUCUCUGACAACCCUGAUCAAUUUCAUUCGGAAUGGAUAUGCCCCUUGAAUGACUUGUUGGGGCACACGUCUAAACACUGAACUGUGAAUAUUAGACCCUCAGACCACUGGAAUACCUGUUCUUCAUAUUGACCUACAUCUUCAUUCCAUCCAACUGUUGUCAUGGACGUGUACAGAAACUCAAUGGAGCAUUUCAGCAAUGAAGAGAGGCUGCAUAAACUCAGUUACACUUUUCAGAAAAACAGCGACAACUUUUUGAGUGGAAAUACUGCAUAGCUCGAGAAGCAUUAGUCCACAUGGAGGAGGCAGGGAGGAUGGGCUUCAGGAACUACCACAGUACCAGGCCUUCACUCCCCACAUCUCAGUAACAUAUAUGUAUUGUAAAAACCUGAGGCCCCAACACAGAACCCUGUGGAACUCCACUGGUCACAUCCAAACAACACCCAGUUCUGCAGAUUUGCUAUUUUCUGCCAACCAGACAACAUGCUGUCAAUGCUAAUGUCAUAUACUAGAUCCAAGGUCAUUUCCAGCACUGAGCAGAUGUCCAGGACCCUGGAGUUGGGCGCAACAUGACCAUCUGGAUUCUCAUUCUUUGCUGCAAAGAAGUGUCGAUCUCCCUCACUAUACUAUCACCUACUACAAUUAUGGUUGCUCCUCCAACUUGAGUGGCAUUCCUCUACACAAUCAAUUUGCACACUCACCCUGCAACCCUGCUACUAUCCAAAGAAGCUCAAUCCUAACUGAUAACUGCAGAAGUUGGCACUCUAACCCCGAGGAUCCCUUUUCUACCUCACUAACAAUAACAUGCCUUUGUCCCUGACCAAUGACCAAAACAGCCUAAGUGGCGUGACUGCUCCUGGUACAAAGAAUCCCUUUCCCUAAUGUAUCACAGUGUUUGUAUUCAAUCUCCAGCUCAUAAAGCCUGACCACAGCUAUUCAAAUUUCAAACACUUACUUCAAGCAUAUCUGCCCUGGAUCACAGUGGUAUCCAGGAAUAGCCACAUACUGCAGCCUUGACACAUAAUCUGAACUACCAUCCUUAAUAAGUUAAUUAUUCUAUAUAUAUAUGUGUGAACUUUACCACCAAUUUGUAUAAUAUUACUUCCAGAAUAAAAAAAGCUUAAUGACUUUCGAGAGACUCACCAGUUAGCUCUUUUCUCUCCAGUAGAGCAAAGCCACAGUUAAAAGCAAUGCUGAUGAUAAUCAUGAGGAA